rnacentral:rRNA from 1 species
GGGACACGUGGUAUCCUGUCUGAAUAUGGGGGGACCAUCCUCCAAGGCUAAAUACUCCUGACUGACCGAUAGUGAACCAGUACCGUGAGGGAAAGGCGAAAAGAACCCCGGCGAGGGGAGUGAAAAAGAACCUGAAACCGUGUACGUACAAGCAGUGGGAGCACGCUUAGGCGUGUGACUGCGUACCUUUUGUAUAAUGGGUCAGCGACUUAUAUUCUGUAGCAAGGUUAACCGAAUAGGGGAGCCGAAGGGAAACCGAGUCUUAACUGGGCGUUAAGUUGCAGGGUAUAGACCCGAAACCCGGUGAUCUAGCCAUGGGCAGGUUGAAGGUUGGGUAACACUAACUGGAGGACCGAACCGACUAAUGUUGAAAAAUUAGCGGAUGACUUGUGGCUGGGGGUGAAAGGCCAAUCAAACCGGGAGAUAGCUGGUUCUCCCCGAAAGCUAUUUAGGUAGCGCCUCGUGAAUUCAUCUCCGGGGGUAGAGCACUGUUUCGGCAAGGGGGUCAUCCCGACUUACCAACCCGAUGCAAACUGCGAAUACCGGAGAAUGUUAUCACGGGAGACACACGGCGGGUGCUAACGUCCGUCGUGAAGAGGGAAACAACCCAGACCGCCAGCUAAGGUCCCAAAGUCAUGGUUAAGUGGGAAACGAUGUGGGAAGGCCCAGACAGCCAGGAUGUUGGCUUAGAAGCAGCCAUCAUUUAAAGAAAGCGUAAUAGCUCACUGGUCGAGUCGGCCUGCGCGGAAGAUGUAACGGGGCUAAACCAUGCACCGAAGCUGCGGCAGCGACACUAUGUGUUGUUGGGUAGGGGAGCGUUCUGUAAGCCUGCGAAGGUGUGCUGUGAGGCAUGCUGGAGGUAUCAGAAGUGCGAAUGCUGACAUAAGUAACGAUAAAGCGGGUGAAAAGCCCGCUCGCCGGAAGACCAAGGGUUCCUGUCCAACGUUAAUCGGGGCAGGGUGAGUCGACCCCUAAGGCGAGGCCGAAAGGCGUAGUCGAUGGGAAACAGGUUAAUAUUCCUGUACUUGGUGUUACUGCGAAGGGGGGACGGAGAAGGCUAUGUUGGCCGGGCGACGGUUGUCCCGGUUUAAGCGUGUAGGCUGGUUUUCCAGGCAAAUCCGGAAAAUCAAGGCUGAGGCGUGAUGACGAGGCACUACGGUGCUGAAGCAACAAAUGCCCUGCUUCCAGGAAAAGCCUCUAAGCAUCAGGUAACAUCAAAUCGUACCCCAAACCGACACAGGUGGUCAGGUAGAGAAUACCAAGGCGCUUGAGAGAACUCGGGUGAAGGAACUAGGCAAAAUGGUGCCGUAACUUCGGGAGAAGGCACGCUGAUAUGUAGGUGAAGUCCCUCGCGGAUGGAGCUGAAAUCAGUCGAAGAUACCAGCUGGCUGCAACUGUUUAUUAAAAACACAGCACUGUGCAAACACGAAAGUGGACGUAUACGGUGUGACGCCUGCCCGGUGCCGGAAGGUUAAUUGAUGGGGUUAGCGCAAGCGAAGCUCUUGAUCGAAGCCCCGGUAAACGGCGGCCGUAACUAUAACGGUCCUAAGGUAGCGAAAUUCCUUGUCGGGUAAGUUCCGACCUGCACGAAUGGCGUAAUGAUGGCCAGGCUGUCUCCACCCGAGACUCAGUGAAAUUGAACUCGCUGUGAAGAUGCAGUGUACCCGCGGCAAGACGGAAAGACCCCGUGAACCUUUACUAUAGCUUGACACUGAACAUUGAGCCUUGAUG